UACGAAGGUCCCAAGCGUUAUCCGGAUUUAUUGGGUUUAAAGGGUGCGUAGGCGGUCUAUUAAGUCAGUGGUGAAAGCCCCAAGCUCAACUUGGGAACUGCCAUUGAUACUGAUGGACUUGAGUACAUUUGAGGUGGGCGGAAUGUGUCAUGUAGCGGUGAAAUGCUUAGAUAUGACACAGAACACCGAUUGCGAAGGCAGCUCACUAAACUGUAACUGACGCUGAGGCACGAAAGCGUGGGGAGCAAACAGG
rnacentral:rRNA from 1 species